AAAUUGAAGAGUUUGAUCAUGGCUCAGAUUGAACGCUGGCGGCAGGCCUAACACAUGCAAGUCGAACGGUAACAGGAAGCAGCUUGCUGCUUCGCUGACGAGUGGCGGACGGGUGAGUAAUGUCUGGGAAACUGCCUGAUGGAGGGGGAUAACUACUGGAAACGGUGGCUAAUACCGCAUAACGUCGCAAGACCAAAGAGGGGGACCUUCGGGCCUCUUGCCAUCAGAUGUGCCCAGAUGGGAUUAGCUUGUUGGUGAGGUAACGGCUCACCAAGGCGACGAUCCCUAGCUGGUCUGAGAGGAUGACCAGCCACACUGGAACUGAGACACGGUCCAGACUCCUACGGGAGGCAGCAGUGGGGAAUAUUGCACAAUGGGCGCAAGCCUGAUGCAGCCAUGCCGCGUGUAUGAAGAAGGCCUUCGGGUUGUAAAGUACUUUCAGCGGGGAGGAAGGUGUUGUGGUUAAUAACCGCAGCAAUUGACGUUACCCGCAGAAGAAGCACC
rnacentral:rRNA from 1 species